AAUGCUAUGCCCAUUUCACUAUUCCGGACAUAAGCACUUGACUCAUGUCACCACCUAGAAUUAAUGACAACUCCAUAGAGAAUUGGGGAUGCUCCGAAUUAACAAGGUUGUUAUGCAUUGUUUGAGCUACAUCUGGGCAGUACAAAUAAACAUUUCCCAAAGUAUAUUUUCCUGGAGAAGGGGAACAUUCUCUGUAACUUCAUGAAUGCAUGCAUUAAUGCUUUGUUGGACCAUUGGAAGAGUUUGUCUGAAAAUUCAUGGUUGUUCCUCUUUCAAGAAAUCUACCAUCAAUUUGAAUUGCAGAGGUUUUGAAAGAGAUCUAGGCUUGAAUGAGUUGGUCUUUGAGGAAGAUGUACUGCCAGAUCGGAUCAAAGUAUCAUAUUAUUCUCGUGGACAGAAACUGUUGGUCUCUUACAAAAAGGGAUAUGGAAUCUUUUGCACUUGCUGCAACUGCAAGGUAAUUUUCAUCUAUUGAUGGGAUGCUUCCUCAUGGAGGAUCUUGAGUGAAGGAGGAAGGUUUGUGGAGUGAGAAUUUGCGACUUUGCAGGAUACAAAUCUUGCGUGAUCUUUGCUCGACCUUGGCACGAGCAAGAAUGUGACUAAUUAUAGGACAAAAACUUCGGGCAACCCUUUCACAACAUUGGCUCGAGCGAAGUUGCGACUAUUAAGAUUCACUUGCAUUGAGAACCAUGUGCUGCCAACAGCUGAUGAAGCUGAAUCAAUAUGGACAAAAUUUAGUUUUAUUAGACCAAGACGAGGUGGUGGGAGUACAACAAAAAUUUUGUGAAAAUAGACAAGUGAUGCAACCCAAUGUGGAAAUGGCCUCAUGGAGGAUCUUGAGUGGAGGAAGGCUUCUGGAGUGGGAAUUUGCAAUUAUGCAGGAGACAAAUAUGUUGAGGCGUGGAGCUGGGGUUUGGAUAGGCAACAACCCCUGUCCGGACAGGAGCUCCAGAGAGUGACUUUUGUUGGGGCAUGUCCGGAUAGUGCAUUGGUGUUUCUCGGCACGCGGGGCAUUGAGCUACAAAACAAUAGUGGCAUCCGGACACCGCCGCCUAAAAACUCUGAUUUUCUAUUUAAAGACCUGUUAUGAGCCUCUGAUGUUAUGGAAAAAAUUGUGGAAACACUGAGACAUCUUUUAUAGGUUUUGUAUAAAGGAGUUUGAGAGUUGAAUAGUUUAAUCAACAUCUCUGAAUUGUAAUAGUCUCUUGUAUCAUUUUCUCAUUCAUAGUAAAACCUGUUGCAACUC